rnacentral:rRNA from 1 species
AUUGAACGCUGGCGGCAGGCCUAACACAUGCAAGUCGAGCGGAUGAAGGGAGCUUGCUCCUGGAUUCGGCGGCGGACGGGUGAGUAAUGCCUAGGAAUCUGCCUGGUAGUGGGGGAUAACGUCCGGAAACGGGCGCUAAUACCGCAUACGUCCUGAGGGAGAAAGUGGGGGAUCUUCGGACCUCACGCUAUCAGAUGAGCCUAGGUCGGAUUAGCUAGUUGGUGGGGUAAAGGCCUACCAAGGCGACGAUCCGUAACUGGUCUGAGAGGAUGAUCAGUCACACUGGAACUGAGACACGGUCCAGACUCCUACGGGAGGCAGCAGUGGGGAAUAUUGGACAAUGGGCGAAAGCCUGAUCCAGCCAUGCCGCGUGUGUGAAGAAGGUCUUCGGAUUGUAAAGCACUUUAAGUUGGGAGGAAGGGCAGUAAGUUAAUACCUUGCUGUUUUGACGUUACCAACAGAAUAAGCACCGGCUAACUCCGUG